rnacentral:tRNA from 2 species
GGACGCGUAGCUCAAUUGGAUAGAGCAUCAGAUUACGGCUCUGAAGGUUAGGGGUUCGACUCCCUUCGCGUUCA